rnacentral:rRNA from 1 species
GAUCAUGGCUCAGGACGAACGCUGGCGGCGUGCCUAAUACAUGCAAGUAGAACGCUGAAGGAGGAGCUUGCUUCUCUGGAUGAGUUGCGAACGGGUGAGUAACGCGUAGGUAACCUGCCUGGUAGCGGGGGAUAACUAUUGGAAACGAUAGCUAAUACCGCAUAAGAGUAGAUAUUGCAUGAUAUUUACUUAAAAGGUGCAAAUGCAUCACUACCAGAUGG